rnacentral:rRNA from 1 species
GUAGCAUAAUCAUUUGUUUUUUAAUUAAAAACUGGCAUGAAGGGUUUAACAAGUAAAGUAUAUUUAAAGUAAUAGAAUAAAAUUUAUAAUUUAUGUAAAAAUACAUAAAUGAAUAAAAGGGACGAUAAGACCCUAAAAGCUUUAUUAUUGAAUAUUUUUUGGUAUUGUUAGUAUUUGGAGAGUAUAAAAUAUUUUAACUGGGGUAGUUGUUUUUUUUACAAAUAUUUUUAUUAACAAUUAGGGUUAGAGUUCCUUUAUAUAAGGAUAGUUAGUCAAAGUUACUUUAGGGAUAACAGCAUAAUAAUAAUGGGAAGCUCUUAUUUAUAUUAUUGAUUUUGACCUCGAUGUUGAAUUAAAUUUCUUUAUAAAGUAGAAAUUAUAUUUGAAAGUUUGUUCAACUUUUAAAAUUUU